rnacentral:rRNA from 1 species
UACAGAGGGUGCAAGCGUUAAUCGGAUUUACUGGGCGUAAAGGGCGCGUAGGUGGUUGUUUAAGUGAGAUGUGAAAUCCCCGGGCUUAACCUGGGAACUGCAUUUGUGACUGCAUCGCUGGAGUGCGGCAGAGGGGGAUGGAAUUCCGCGUGUAGCAGGUGAAAUGCGUAGAUAUGCGGAAGGAACACCGAUGGCGAAGGCAAUCCCCUGGGCCUGCACUGACGCUCAUGCACGAAAGCGUGGGGAGCAAACAGGA